rnacentral:snRNA from 1 species
GUGCUCCUUCGCAGCACAUAUACUAAAAAUUGUAGCGAUACAGAGAAGAUCAGCAUGGUCCUGUGCAAAGAUGACAUGCAGGCGAGGUGCAGUGGCUCACGCCUGU